GUGAGUCAUCGAAUCUUUGAACGCACAUUGCGCCCCUUGGUAUUCCAUGGGGCAUGCCUGUUCGAGCGUCAUUUGAACCCUCAAGCUUUGCUUGGUGUUGGGCGUUUGUCCCGCUAUUGCGUGUGGACUCGCCUUAAAGGAAUUGGCAGCCAGUGUUAUCCGGCUUUGAGCGCAGCACAAUGCGUACUCUAGGUUGAUACAUUAGCAUCCAAAAGUUCAUUUUUUACUCUUGACCUCGGAUCAGGUAGGGAUACCCGCUGAACUUAAGCAUAUCAAUAAGCGGAGGA
rnacentral:misc_RNA from 1 species